GGUAGCCGGCCUGAGAGGGUGACCGGCCACACUGGGACUGAGACACGUUCCAGACUCCUACGGGAGGCAGCAGUGGGGAAUAUUGCACAAUGGGCGAAAGCCUGAUGCAGCGACGCCGCGUGAGGGAUGACGGCCUUCGGGUUGUAAACCUCUUUCAGCAGGGAAGAAGCGAAAGUGACGGUACCUGCAGAAAAAGCGCCGGCUAACUACGUGCCAGCAGCCGCGGUAAUACGUAGGGCGCAAGCGUUAUCCGGAAUUAUUGGGCGUAAAGAGCUCGUAGGCGGUUUGUCGCGUCUGCUGUGAAAUCCCGAGGCUCAACCUCGGGUCUGCAGUGGGUACGGGCAGACUAGAGUGCGGUAGGGGAGAUUGGAAUUCCUGGUGUAGCGGUGGAAUGCGCAGAUAUCAGGAGGAACACCGAUGGCGAAGGCAGAUCUCUGGGCCGUUACUGACGCUGAGGAGCGAAAGGGUGGGGAGCGAACAGGAUUAGAUACCCUGGUAGUCCACCCCGUAAACGUUGGGAACUAGGUGUGGGGGACAUUCCACGGAUUCCGUGACGCAGCUAACGCAUUAAGUUCCCCGCCUGGGGAGUACGG
rnacentral:rRNA from 1 species